CCCGGUUUUCGGCGGUGCUUUGUCAAUUGGUCUGGCUCCUCCGACCCUUGGAGCCUUUUGCCGGGUCGAGGCUGAGUGGGGGGCUGUCUGGUGUCGUGGGUACGGCCAGGGACCUUGACGAGGCGCAGGCUGGGAGCUGCGUCUCCUCCCACCCUGGAGCCCGAGGCCCAGGUGAGGCGCGGCCCGGGCAUUGGGUUCUCGGGCUGGACCUUUACCUGCCUUCUCCUCCGCAGGAACGGAGAUGGGCUGGCAGAGACGCUCUGCUGCCACUUGGCAGAAGGACCCCGUGGUAGGAAAGCGAGACCCGAUUAAGCCCUGCCAGAGUUCAAGUUUGAACUUCGUUUCUAAUGCAGACACUUAAAGCAGCUCUGUUCACCUCCCAAAAAGGUGUUCAAGCUGAGAUGGUAUAUAUACGAUGCCGAAACCUUCAUCAACUCCUCCAAAGCUUGUUUGCACUCUUCUGUUUGGACUGUUUUUCCAUGUGUGGCUUGUGAAAUCACAGGAGGAGUGACUGUUGCCCAGGAGAACGAGAUUCCAUGCUUCGAGUUUUGAAAGGCAUGACUGCCAUUAGCAACGUGUGAAUAACAACAUACACAAUCUCUUCAUCGACAACAAGGAACUGCAUUCUGACCUUCACAUUGUCUACGUGUGCUACUGAGUGUGGGGUCAUAUCCUAAGCUUCAGCUCUAAUAAGCAUUCAUCACAGGGAAGGUACGAUCUUGGAUAUUCAGUUGGCCACAAAGAGCUUUAAGUACAUUUAUGGUCAAGUCAAAUGGUAGCUUUGCUGAAACAUUAAUAGAAAAGCAUUGGUAAUUCAUGUCAGAAUGAGAUACAAAAUAAUAGGUGAAAAAUGAUUUCACAUAAAAGAAAUUUUGAUAAACCUGGAAAACAAUUUCAGUUAUUUUUGUCCAUUAACAUUAGCAUUUUAGUUUAAAGAGCUACUUGAAUCACAUGUUGUUCCUUCCCAUAAGAAGAGAUUUUGAGUACAACAGGAUGAAUUUCUCAUUGAGAAACUUGCUUUUGCCCCAGUUUCCUUUCUAGUCUCCAGUAGGACACUGUCAUCAUUCAGUAUUGGUAUUGUAGCAACUUAGAUGCACCAAAUUGCAACAUAUAGGACUUAAGUCAGAGCCCCAUGGCAGUGACUCUGAAAAGACUAGUUUUAUUAGUUAUACUAUUAAGGGUUUUUUGUUGCUGUUUUAAAAGACUCCCAGAAAUCCAAAUUUACAUUUUGUGGAACAUGAGCCAAACUAAUUGAGGUUGUUAUGGAAAAUGGUCUCAUUUUAAUGGUCUAUAUUACCUCUGGGACCCUGCUGGUCAAAGCUGUGUGGCCCACAAGGCAAAAAUUAGAAUGAUGUUUUUCAUAUUGUCUUAGUUUUUUAUUACUGACUUUGUUACAGCUUGAUCUUUGGAGGUGCUUUGUACUGUGUAAAUGAAAUUUACUGAAAAUGUACAUAAAUAACUGACGUCCCAAUAAACCAUAAAUUGAUUUUUUAA